rnacentral:rRNA from 1 species
GUACACUCCUACGGGAGGCAGCAGUGAGGAAUAUUGGACAAUGGGUGGAAGCCUGAUCCAGCCAUCCCGCGUGCAGGAAGACGGCCCUAUGGGUUGUAAACUGCUUUUAUCUGGGGAUAAACCUACUUACGUGUAAGUAGCUGAAGGUACCAGAAGAAUAAGCACCGGCUAACUCCGUGCCAGCAGCCGCGGUAAUACGGAGGGUGCAAGCGUUAUCCGGAUUUAUUGGGUUUAAAGGGUCCGUAGGCGGACUGAUAAGUCAGUGGUGAAAUCCGACAGCUUAACUGUCGAACUGCCAUUGAUACUGUUAGUCUUGAGUAAGGUUGAAGUGGCUGGAAUAAGUAGUGUAGCGGUGAAAUGCAUAGAUAUUACUUAGAACACCAAUUGCGAAGGCAGGUCACUAAGUCUUAACUGACGCUGAUGGACGAAAGCGUGGGGAGCGAACAGGAUUAGAAACCCUUGUAGUCCCAUG